rnacentral:rRNA from 1 species
CCGUGGCGGCGUGCUUAACACAUGCAAGUCGAACGGAAAGGCCCUGCUUUUGUGGGUCCUGGAUGAGUGGCGAACGGGUGAGUAACACGUGAGUAACCUGCCCCUUCUUCUGGAUAACCGCAUGAAAGUGUGGCUAAUACGGGAUAUUCUGGGUCUGUCGCAUGGUGGGCCUGGGAAAGAUUGCGCUUUUUUGGUGUUUUUGGUGGGGGAUGGGCUCGCGGCCUAUCAGCUUGUUGGUGGGGUGAUGGCCUACCAAGGCGGUGACGGGUAGCCGGCCUGAGAGGGUGGACGGUCACACUGGGACUGAGACACGGCCCAGACUCCUACGGGAGGCAGCAGUGGGGAAUAUUGCACAAUGGGCGCAAGCCUGAUGCAGCGACGCCGCGUGAGGGAUGGAGGCCUUCGGGUUGUGAACCUCUUUCGCCAGUGAAGCAGGCCUGCCUCGUUUGUGGGUGGGUUGACGGUAGCUGGAUAAGAAGCGCCGGCUAACUACGUGCCAGCAGCCGCGGUAAUACGUAGGGCGCGAGCGUUGUCCAG